UUGAACGCUGGCGGAAUGCUUUACACAUGCAAGUCGAGCGGCAGCGCGGGGGCAACCCUGGCGGCGAGCGGCGAACGGGUGAGUAAUGCAUCGGAACAUACCCAGUCGUGGGGGAUAACGUAGCGAAAGUUACGCUAAUACCGCAUGAGUCCUGAGGGAGAAAGCGGGGGAUCGCAAGACCUCGCGCGAUUGGAGUGGCCGAUGUCAGAUUAGCUAGUUGGUGGGGUAAAGGCCUACCAAGGCGACGAUCUGUAGCGGGUCUGAGAGGAUGAUCCGCCACACUGGGACUGAGACACGGCCCAGACUCCUACGGGAGGCAGCAGUGGGGAAUUUUGGACAAUGGGCGAAAGCCUGAUCCAGCCAUGCCGCGUGCGGGAAGAAGGCCUUCGGGUUGUAAACCGCUUUCAGCCGGAAAGAAAUCGCCACUUCUAAUACGAGUGGUGGAUGACGGUACCGGAAGAAGAAGCACCGGCUAACUACGU
rnacentral:rRNA from 1 species